CUGUGUCCUCCUCAUCCUCCUCCUCUUCGUCCUCUGCAAGGGGAUAGGGUUUGGUUCUGUCACCCAGGCCAAAGUGCAGUGGUGUGAUCACAGCUCACUGCAGCCUCAAACUCCUGGGCUCAAGCGAUCCUCCUACCUCAGCUCUCCAAGUAACUAGGGACUACAGAUCCACACCACCAUACCUGGGUAAUUUUUUAAAAUUAUUUUUUGUAUAGGCAAGGUCUUGCUGUUGCCCAGGCUGGUCUCGAACUCCCAGCCUCAAGUGAUCCUCCCUCCUUGCCUGAACUUUCUAUUCUUUUCCUGCAUUAAAGUUUAAGCAUUGAGGAAGCACUUCCCAAGACUACCUGAGUUCUUUUCAGCUGAGUCUAGAGGUAGGGAUAGCCAUGGUUCAAAAGCAGCCUACCACUUGGGGUCGCCCUGGCGUGCACCCCAUUAAGGUCCCUACUUCGAGGAGCAGAUUCUUCAGGCUUUCCAUCUUGGGGUCUCCUAGUCUAUCAGCAGUGGAGGAAACCUCUACAGAUGCUGCACUGUGUGGUAUGGAAGGCACUGGCCACGCGUGACUACUGAGUAUGUGAAAUGCAUCUGGUCCACACUGAGAAGUGUUCCAAGUACAAAACACACAUCAGAUUUUAAAGACGUAGUGAAAAAGAAUGUAAAAGAUCUCAAUCACUAUCAGAAUUGCUCAUUGAAAUGAUACCAUUCAAUUGGAUGAAGUAAAAUCUGUUAUUAAAAUUCGAUUUACCUGUCUCUUUUUACUUAAUUUAACAUGGAACACUUAAAACUGCA
rnacentral:lncRNA from 1 species